UACAGAGACUGCGAGCGUUAUUCGGAUUCACUGGGCGUAAAGGGUGCGCAGGCGGCCGUGUGUGUGAGGCGUGAAAGCCCGGGGCUUAACCCCGGAAUCGCACCUCAAACUACACGGCUAGAGCAUUGGAGAGGGUAGCGGAAUUCACGGUGUAGCAGUGAAAUGCGUAGAUAUCGUGAGGAACACCAGAGGCGAAGGCGGCUACCUGGACAAUUGCUGAUGCUCAGGCACGAAAGCGUGGGGAGCAAACAGG
rnacentral:rRNA from 1 species